AUCUCACCGGUGGGGUACUCUCAGUAACCUCACAACUACCAUCAUGCAUUUCAUACUCAAUCCACCAAUUCAUACCAAGACUGAAAUCAGCAUGCACAAUCUUUCACCAUCAAACAAUGCAAGUAGACUCGACUCAAACACAGAUUAAACAGACGCCAAAACAAGAAAAGCAAAAAGAUAAAAUAAAACCUAAUCUACGAGUUCAGGGGAAAGGUACUUAGUCGUUUCGGUCGGAGGAUCUUGCCUCCGCAGUCAGCAUCUCCUUGAUUUCUUUAAAACCAGCCUCCACUACUUUGAAUCCUUCUUCCACAGUAUCCCUCAACGUGGCCACUUCUCCUCCCA
rnacentral:lncRNA from 1 species